rnacentral:ncRNA from 2 species
ACUUUAAUCAGUAUUAGAGGUGGCUUUGAUGCCAAGCAUCAUGCCUUAAAGAGGGAAUAUGGUUAAGGAUGAAACAAGCCAUCCGACUCCAUAGCCGUCCCCGCGACUGUGAACUGGUCGUUCUUCGAAAUGCCACUGGUGUCUGCCAAGGUUAACCCUUGAAAGCACUGGGAAGGCCGGAGAACAAAUGGCCAUAAGCCAGGAGACCUGCCUUGAAAUACGGAUUCAA